rnacentral:rRNA from 1 species
GGGCCCGAUAUCCGGUGAUCCCGGCUGCCGAGAAAAGCUUCGGCGUCAGGCUCAAAGCCGCCCGUACCCCAAACCGACACUGGUGGUCAGGUAGAGAAUACCAAAGCGAUCGAGCGAAUCCUGGUCAAGGAACUCGGCAAAUCACUCCCGUUCCUUCGGUUUAAGGGAGACCCCCGAUGGUGAACACACUUGCUGUGGGAGCUUUUGGGGGUGGCACAGACCAGGGGGUAGCGACUGUUUACCAAAAACACAGGUGCAUGCGAAGGCGCAAGCCGCUGUAUAUGCACUGACGCCUGCCCGGUGCCGGAAGGUUAAGAGGAUCCGUCAGCCUUCGGGUGAAGCGGUGAAUUCAAGCCCCGGUAAACGGCGGUGGUAACAAUAACCAUCCUAAGGUAGCGAAAUUCCUUGUCGGGUAAGUUCCGACCUGCACGAAUGGCGUAACGACUUCCCCACUGUCUCGACCAGGAGCUCGGCGAAAUUGCAGUACGAGUAAAGAUGCUCGUUAAGCGCAGAAGGACGAAAAGACCCCGGGACCUUUACUAUACCUUGGUAUUGGCAUUCGGUGUGGAUUGUGUAGCAUAGGCGGGAGGCCGAGAGGCGCGGUCGCCAGAUCGCGCGGAGCCGUAGGGUGAAAUACCGCUCUGUUCGCAUUGGAUGUCUAACCUCGAACAGUCAUCCUGUUCAGGGACAGUGCCUGGCGGGUAGUUUAACUGGGGCGGUUGCCUCCCAAAGAGUAACGGAGGCGCCCAAAGGUCCGCUCAGCCCGGUUGGCAAUCGGGUGGCGAGUGCAAGUGCACAAGCGGGCUUGACUGCGAGGGCGACGGUCCGAGCAGGGACGAAAGUCGGGACUAGUGAUCCGGUGCCGGUGUACGGACGCGGCAUCGCUCAACGGAUAAAAGGUACCCCGGGGAUAACAGGCUGAUCAUUCCCAAGAGUCCAUAUCGACGGGAUGGUUUGGCACCUCGAUGUCGGCUCGUCGCAUCCUGGGGCUGGAGCAGGUCCCAAGGGUUCGGCUGUUCGCCGAUUAAAGCGGCACGCGAGCUGGGUUCAGAACGUCGUGAGACAGUUUGGUCUCUAUCCUCUGCGCUCGUUGGAAUGCUGAGGAGGCCUGCCCAUAGUACGAGAGGACCUGGGUGGACGAACCUCUGGUAUGCCGGUUGUCACGCCAGUGGCACGGCCGGUUGGCUACGUUCGGAAGGGAUAACCGCUGAAAGCAUCUAAGCGGGAAGCCUGCUCCAAGAUAAGCAUUCCGUGGAACCUUCGAGUUCCUGUAGUCCCCAUGCAGAACACGUGGUCGAUAGGCCGGACGUGGAAGCCCCGCGAGGGGUGGAGCCGACCGGUACUAACGGACGAAAGGC